UUAUUUAUUAAUAUCACUUAAUUCCUCAAAUAGCACCAAUUAAUUGAUUAAUUUUAUUCUUAUUUUUUUUUUCUACAUUUUAUGUAAUCAUAAACUUACUAUAUUUUAAUUUUAUUAAAAACUUAAAAAUUAAUUUUUUUAAAAAAAAUAACAUAAAAAAUUACAACAAAUUUAUUUAAUAUUUUUGACCCAUCAACAACAAUUUUUAAUUUAGAAAUAAAUUGAAUCAGAACUCUUUUAAUCAUUUUAUUUAUACCAAACUUUUUAUGAAUCUUACCAAAUCGAAUAAACUGAUUAUUAUUUAAAAUAUUUAAUAUACUAAACAAUGAAAUACUAAUACUUUAUAAAAUAAAAAAAACUAAAUCUCCUGCAUUUUUAUUUAUUUCACUUUUUAUAUUUAUUCUACUUAAUAAUUUUUUUAGCUUAUUCCCAUAUAUUUUUUCAUCAUCAAGUCAUAUAGUAUUUUCUGUUACUUUAGCUAUUCCAUUUUGAAUAUUUUUUAUUAUUUUGUCAACUUGUAAAAACACUAAAAAUAUAAUUGCACACUUGAUUCCUUUAAAUACACCAAUUUACCUAGCCCCAUUAAUAACAAUUAUUGAAACAAUAAGAAUUAUUAUUCGACCAAUAUCUCUUUCUAUUCGUUUAACAGCUAAUUUAAUUGCAGGACAUUUAUUAAUAACUCUAUUAAAUUUUAAUUCACUUAUAAUUAUUAUUAUUUUUAUUCAAAUAUUUAUAAUAAUUUUUGAAUUAUGCGUAGCUUUAAUUCAAAGUUAUGUAUUCUCAAUUCUUUCAUCUUUAUACUCUAGUGAAUAAUGAUAAAAAUUAAUCAACCAUAUUUUAUUUUAAGAUUAAGUCCAUGACCUAUCUUAAUAGCAUUUAAUACAUUUAAUUUAAUAAUUUCUAAUAUUAUAAUUAUAAAUUUUAAAUAAAUAUAAUAUCAUUAUUUAAUCUACUAAUAAUUAUUAGUAUUUCUAUCUUAUGAUGACGAGAUGUAAUUCGAGAAAGAACAUUUCAAGGUAAUCAUAAUUUUUAUAUUAUAAAUUUAAUCAAAUUUAGAAUAAUCUUAUUUAUUAUCUCUGAAAUAUUUUUAUUUAUUUCUUUUUUUUGAAAUUUUCUACACAAUUCUUUAGCACCAUCAAUUGAACUAGGACUAAAUUGACCACCAAAAAAUAUUAUAUUUUUCAAUCCAUUAUUAAUUCCUUUAUUAAAUACAAUUAUUUUAUUAACAUCAAGUUUUACUGUUACUUUAGCUCAUCUUUACUUACUUAAUAAUUCUAAAAAAAAAACUAUCAUUUUUAUAAAUUUAACAAUUAUUUUAAGUAUCUACUUUCUAAUACUUCAAAUAUUAGAAUAUAAACAAGCUACAUUUACAUUCUCAGAUUCAAUUUUUGGUUCUUCUUUUUAUAUAGCAACAGGAUUUCAUGGUUUACAUGUAAUUAUCGGAACAAUUUUUUUAAUUAUCAAUCUUAUACGAAUAAUUAAACUUCACUUUUCUCAUAUUCAUCAUAUCAGAUUUGAAUUAGGAGCUUGAUAUUGACAUUUUAUUGAUAUCAUUUGACUAUUUCUUUAUAUAACUUUUUAUUGAUGAAAUAAUUAA